GAAGCUGCAGACCUUCGCGAAUCAAGACAACUCACCAGAAAAAGGACUGAGAACUCCUUCUGGAUGAAGAUACUUCCUAGGUGCAAGAGAGUUGAGUUAAGGCUAAAGCUCUAUAACCAUUGAAAGCUGGCUGGGGGAAAAGAAGAAGAGGCAAAAAGAUCAACUGAAGAAUAAACUGCUGUCAUUGGCACAAAAGAAUACCACAAAGAUUAUUUACAAAACUCGAAUCAGGAGUAGAACAGACCUCCAUGUGGAAGUUCAAUUAUGCUAAGAGGAAAGAGGAAAGGGGAAGAGUUUACAGAAAUAAAUUAAUGAUGAUGAUAAACUAUUUUCAAGCCCUUACAUUUUUUUUUUUUAUGGAGUUUCGCUCUGUCACCCAUGCUGGAGUGCAAUGGCAUGAUCUCAGCUCUCUGCAAUCUCCACCUCCCUGAUUCAAGCAAUUCUCCUGCCACAGCCUCCCGAGCAGCUGGGAUUACAGGCAUG
rnacentral:lncRNA from 1 species